CUCCUUCCAGUCUUGGUGUCCUCUGAUUUAUCCUACAGGAAGUGCUUAUCUUCUUAUACCAUACAGCCGAUUACAUCACUCCUCUGAUGCAUCCCUAAUCAUUCCUCAUGGCCUGCAGCAGUGUUUCUCAAGUGAGUUUUGCCUAUCACCUUCCAUCAGAAUCACCUGGUGAGCUUGUUAGAGAACAGAUUCUCAGGAACCACACCAGGAUUUUGGAUUUAGAAUUGAUGGUGGUUGAGCCUAGACUCUGUAUUUUUAACAAGCUCCCUAUGUGAUUCUUUUUCAUGCUAAAAUUUGAGAGCAUCUGGCCUCCAGAUCAAGUGCAAACACUUCAGAAUUGCUGGUAAGUACCAUCUGACUCUGGCUUAGCGCCUUCUUUCCCUCAAUUCUUUCUACUCUUUCACCUCCCCUCUGCACUCCAGAUGAGAAGACUGUGCUCAGAGAUGGUAAGAAACUCAGAAGAGGCACCUGGUGAAUAGGAGAUGUCUGGAACUUGAAUGCAGGAAGAAGUGGAUACUUUCAACGGGAGAAACUCGAGCAUCAGAUUUGCUCCUUGGAGCAUUAAUAAAAGGGCUCAGUUAGCCUCAUCUCAUUAUUUUACUAUGAGUAUUGACUUUGGCCUAGAGUCAUGUAUAGAUAAAAUGGUGCAAGGGCUUGUCCUAAGUGAUUACUCAGAAUUACAAAUCAUUUCACGUGUAACUGAAUACUGCCGUCUAGCUGGCACCCUGCCCCUUGCUUCUCCCCCUCCCCUUCCUCUAAUAGGAGCGCAAAUCCAGCUUUGUCUGAAGAGGCAAUUAAUCUUAUUCACUGAAAGCCGAAUUUUAAUUCACCAGCAUGUGGAGGACAUAUUUGCCUAUCACACAGAAUUAGUUUAACAGAGAAUUUAGACAAAAAAGAUAUUGGAGGUCUUGGCAUUCUUUGGCAGGCAAAAUAUCUUGUAGGUACAUUCCUUUAUUAGCCAUCUACAUACUACGAAUAAGCUUCUUGUAAUAAUAACUCUAUUAGGGUAAACUGGGUUUAUUUUGUAUUUGAAAGUGGCUGAUUACAUUUUAUUUCAUGUAAAGAAACCCACAAGAUAUGUGUGUUUUGGAGGAAAAUGAACAUAAGGUGAGAGAGAUAAAUUUUAGUUUUCUAGAGAUUCUAAAAGGCUAUUAUUUUUAAGGGCACAGUUUAAAGAUGAUCAGAAAAAUAAAGGGACACAUAAAAAUCCUAGACAGCCUACAUACAUCCAAAUCUAAUCCUGCAGAAGGGUAAGUGGUAAGGUAUGAGGUAGACACCAUUGCCAGCACCACACUAGGACUCUCAUGUGAAAUCUGUGAGGGCAAAUACCGGAUUUCCCCAGUGCUUCUGCUGUGCUCUAUUUUAAUUUUCCCCUGAGCAAGGCCUUAGUGUUUUAUCUGAAGUUUGUUUCACAUGUAGACAAAGUGUAAAAAAAAAAACUUCCUGAAGCAGUUUCUUAAUUCAAGAGAUUUAGACAGGAAUAUGAUUUAAUGCAUGUCCAUGCUUGGUUAGAUAUCAAAUUCCCCUAAGUUCAGAAAACACAUGGCUCUGUUUUGUCCUUCUAUUUAACAUGGCGCUCGUCAAAGGCUACCUUAUGGUACAGGCAGAUAUCAAAACAUGUAACUGUCCUCACAGUGAAAGAAGGAAUUGAAUAAUAAUAAUAAUAAUAAAAAGAGUACAGAUGAUCUUGCAUGCCACAUAAUAAUUAAUGUGGCAUAAAUCUUAAGGGUUUUACUCUAAGAAAGCGAAAAAGGUGCUAUUGGCUUUUCUGUGGCUCCUUCUCGACUUCUGAUUGUCUCAUGGCCCUGGCAUUAACCCUCAAAUAUGAUUGCUUCCAUUGCCUCUUCUAGAAACACACUGUUGAAUACUUAAUAAUGAGAUGAGGACUCAGGGAACAAUGGAACUCUUUUUCAAAAUUUGUCCUAACGUUCUGAAAGUUUUUUCUUCUUUUUUUUACUGUUGGUGGGUCUGGAGUGGGAGCCAGCCAAGUGCAGGGAAUCUAUCAGAUUAAGUGUGCCUAAUAGUCACCAAAUGUCAUGGCGUAACUAUUGAAACUAAGCACAGGGCUGUAAAGUCACAAAGCUUUAUUGCCUUGUCAAACCAUUUGCAGUGCUAAACCUGGCAAUUAUUCUUAAAGGAAACAAUUUCAAAAUUCAAGGUUUUCACAUUGUUAUCAGAAAAUAUUGCUUUAUGUAGUGUCAGGACCAUAAAGAUUUUUGGAGUCCCUAUGUAAACUUUGCAUUAUCUAUAUAACAUUUAGAAUUUAAAUUACGCUGAAUUGGAAUUUGGAUAUGUGAACGCCCAGACACACAUAUUUGCAAACAAGCACUUGCAAAUGUUCCAAGACUUGAAUGAUGGAUUGAAUAUACAGCAGUGUUCAUUAUUUAUUUACUUAAUUUUUUUGUAAGCUCUGCCACCCUAUGAGGCGCUUAGGCAUAUUUUGAGAGAAGAGGUUGUCUUUUGCAAUUCUUUUGACUAUUUUAUGGUCAGAUCUUCAGUGCUGCAACUGUUUGACCUGGAAAAAGACAUCAAAGGCAGGGCAAAAUAAUGAAAAGGCAGAGCUUUCAGUAUUUCUUGUUGCUCCUCAAAGUAUAUGAAAAUGUUUUAGUUCCAUUCUUCUUCACGGACAUCACACAAAACACACACCCUUUAGGUGAUGUUCUGGGUAAUGUCCUUCCCAUGUCUGCUUGGCAAGGCUCACCAUAGCGCCCCUUCCAGUACAAAAAUGAAGAAGCCCUCCAGCAACACCUCCUUUGGGACGGACAGCUUAUUUCUCCAGUCUCCUUCAAAAGGGAAGAUCUUCAAGCCGUAAAAGGAUUGCACAGGCAGCUCCCUUUGUAGGUGAAUGUGAUUGUCAUCAGUCAUCCAGUUCCUUAAGACAUAUGGAAACCCAGCCUUCCACCAAAGGGGGGCAAGUCCUGCUAGAUUGUCUAAGCAGAACCGUAUUUCUAUUUGAAAGAAGAUUUAACUUUAAAAAUAUUUCUGUAUAAAAAACUUCUGACUUAUAGUGAGGUCUAAUAAAGCUACUGUUUAUUCAACUCAUUCUUUGAA
rnacentral:lncRNA from 1 species